AGUCGCGUAGCUCAGUUGGUUAGAGCACUACCUUGACAUGGUAGGGGUCGUUGGUUCGAAUCCAAUCGCGACUA
rfam:Piscirickettsia sp. Y2 scaffold00001, whole genome shotgun sequence.